rnacentral:rRNA from 1 species
UACGAAGGGGGCGAGCGUUGUUCGGAAUCACUGGGCGUAAAGGGCGCGUAGGCGGCCCUCUUAGUCGCGUGUGAAAGCCCCGGGCUCAACCUGGGAACGGCGCGCGAAACGGGAGGGCUGGAGUUCGGGAGAGGUGAGUGGAAUUCCCAGUGUAGCGGUGAAAUGCGUAGAUAUUGGGAGGAACACCAGUGGCGAAGGCGGCUCACUGGACCGGUACUGACGCUGAUGCGCGAAAGCGUGGGGAGCAAACGGG